UGGGCUGCCAGCUGCAUCUCCUCAAGCUGUUGUUUAUACACGCCAGCAUCUCGCAUGGAUGCUGGAUAAGGAACUCACAUGCUCAAGCCUUCACAGCAAGCAUGUCCCCAACUGAGCCAUCUCCUUGGUUCAGAAGAUUCCAUUUUCUCAAGAAUUCAGAAUAACUAGGAGUUAACUGGGCAUCUCACAAAGAGUGACAAGGUUAAUUAUUCUCAGCUGUCUCUGGAAGAUAGGCAGCAAUUUUUUUUACCUAAUCUCCAGGAGCAUGGGGAAGAAAACGGUGAGUGAGUGAACAUUUUUAUUGCUUAAAUUUAUUUCCUUUUAUUUUUUGAGAUCCAACUUUGUAAAUCAGGCUAGUCUCAAACACCUUGGCCACAGUGAGCCUCUCUGCUCAGUCUCCCAGUACUAGGACCACAGACACACACCGCUGCCCUGUGCCAGCUGGGGGAAAUCACAAUGCAAGCACCUUAAACUUCAGUAUCUUUGCUGGAUCCCGGUGAGCCUGUCCCGGAAAAGUGGGACUAUUUAUGAAGGGGAUCCUUGCAAUUUGAAAUUUGUCUUGGGUUCUUACUAUAAAAUCUUCGGGAGUCUCCAGUGUGUACCAUGGCCCUGUUUCCAGACUGAAAUAUGACCUGAUAAUGAGAUAAUAAGUAUUCCAAGCUGGCCUCAUCUGGUUUUCAGUAUUCUCUUCUAUGAGUAUCACAUAGAUGACAGAAGAUGGCUGGUUAUUUCCAAGGAAAAAAGUUCUUCCUUGUAAGUGAGUCAGACUUACAAGUUCUGUAUGUGAAGAUUUUGUUCUUGUUGUUGGUUGGUUGGUUUUCUUUUGUUUUUGUUUUUGUUUUGUUUUGAGACAGGGUGUCAAGUAGCCCAGGAUGGCCUCAAAGUUGAGCUACAGCAAGGAUGCCCUUGAACCCUGACUUCCUGCUUGUACCUCUCAAGUGCUGGGGGGCACAAGUAUGUAUUCCUAAACUUGGUUUAUGUGGUGCCAGAAAUCAAAUGCAGGGCUUUCUGCAUCAACAGGUGAGCACUCCACUAACUGAGCUACAUCC